rnacentral:tRNA from 3 species
UGACCUAUAGUUCAAUUGGCAGAGCAGAUGGUUGUUACCCAUCAAGUUGCAGGUUCGAGUCCUGCUAGGUCAGC